CUAAAUACAAAUAUAUAUAAUAUGUAUAUUUUUAUAUAGGUAUAAUUAUAUGCAUUGUUUGAAGAAAGAAGUUAACUCAAACACAUGGAAAAAGAUAUUUACCAGGACUAAAAUCAUGAAAGAGUACAUUUAUGGAGCAUACAUAGCAUGUUUAAUUGUUUUAUUAAAUUGAUUUUUCAUGUCUUCAGUAUUUGUGUUAAAUUGGACAAAAUUUUUUCCAGUGUUUAACUUCACACAAUAUAUGGUUUGUUGGGGGAGGGGAAUGGAGAGGAGGAAGGAUUAUUUCUGUAUCUCCUAAAUUGGUGUAUGUUUUUAGUUUCUGCCCCUCCAGAGUUUGAGGUAACAAAGAAAAAUGCCAUCAGGAAAUAGUGGGACUAAGAUGUCAAGAGGAGUACAGUGGGCACAGCCUGAGUGGCUUCCCACUUCACAGUAGUUUUAAUGGUCCUUCCCAGGAUCCUAGGGAACUGUACUUGGUGGCAGAUGUGCUAUUCUGAGUACCCGUAAGUGAGGGCUGUCCUUCUAUUGGCUAGCUUUUCCUUUGGUUCAGAAAGCCAUCUCAUUAUCUUUCCAGUAGUUCUUGACUUCAGUUAAUUCAAACUGGCUUUCAGUUAAUUGCAACCAAGUAAGUCCUGACUAAUGCUUAGGGUACUUAAUAACCAAAUCAAAUACAUUAAAAAUUUUUCUUUUUAGGAUUUUGGAAGCACAGAUUUUCAUGUAAGGAGUGCCACUGACAGAUUUGUGGUAGUCAACAAUGCUUCAGAUAGUGUUCUUAUAUGGGAAAUGACAUUCAAGCAUUAUCCCUGAACUCUACCCUGGAAACAUACUAGUUACAUAGAUCAAGUUAUUAAAUAAAUGUGAACACAAAAUAUUUUAGUUUUAUUAUUCCAACUUAAUAUCCCAAGACAGAUAAUGAACUUGAAUGAUAAGAUUCUGUGAGAUUUUAUUUAGCUCUGUUCUCUUCUGAUAUCUUCAUUGUUUAUAGCAGCAUCUCAGCCUCAGUGGUUUCUUUUUUGUUGUUGUUGUCUUUUUUUUUCUUUUUUCAGGGCUGCAUCUGUGGCAUAGGGAUGUUCCCAGGCUAGGGGUUGAAUCCAAGCUGUAGCUGCUGGCCUAUACUACAACCACAGCAACGCAGGAUCUGAGCCGUGUCUGCGACUUAGGCCACAGCUCAGGGCAACGGCAGAUCCUUUAACUCACGGAGUGAGGCCAGGGAUCGAACCCCUGUCCUCAUGGAUAGUAGUAGGGUUCAUUACAGCUGAGCCACAACAGGAACCCCAUAGCCUCAAGGGUUUCUGCUUCUUCUUGUUUCCUUCUUUGUCCCUUUAUAUGCAGAAGCAGGGGUGGAGAUUUGAAGAGCCAUGUAUGAAUGUCUCUGAUUUAAAAAGAUUUUGAAGACAUAUUUCAGAUAAUCAUGAUUAUCAACUUCAUGAUUAUCAGUAAUCACCUAGCACAUCCUUCCAGUAACUUGUCACUAAUUUGAUGUGUAAGACUUCUAAGCUAAAACAGUGCAAAGAAUGUAACUAUUUUAAAUCAGCUUUGUUUUUUCUGUCAAUAUUCUGCUCAAAAGUCAAUAGCAGCUUUCUCUUUUAUUUGUACUGCCUUCUUUUGGUCAUUUAAAAAAACCUAUGCUACAGAUAUUUGCAUUUCUACCAAGGGGCAGAUUGGGAUAGAUGUUAAAUGCAACAAAAUAAUCAGUCUGCCGUGGAAACUCUCAACUUCUCUCAAUCCUUCCUUUAUAUGUACAUUCUCCAUGCUCCUCUACCAUAUGCAUUAUGCUAUGGGAAUAAUCUAGGGCUUAUUUUUACCAUUGUUCCUUUCAGUUGCUACCAUCAAUUCACCAGUUCUUGAUUUUUAACGAGGAUAAUUUUAUGCAUUUCAAUUUUUAGAUAACUGCACUAUUAAUAUGAGUGUAAAAGUAGUUUUUAGAAAGAUUACCCUAUCUAUCCCUUGUUGCCAAGUAGCUGUUAUGAUAUGCUAUUUAGGUUCCCAAAUUACUUACAUUUGUCUUCAACAGAAUCCUAGAUCUUAUAAUCCUGAUUCUCAAAGUGUUCACAUGACACUGAUUCAACUGUUUGAAUGUAGUGCUGGAAAAUUAAUAGCCAUAGCAAACUCUCAUGAUCAAAGUGUCCCAAUAUCUUUAGGAAUUUAACUGAAUAACCAAACACACAGCAAAUUCUUAAGAAAUACAUCCUAAGAUUUGUACAUUUUUAGCCAAGUUGGUCUUGGGAAUGGAAUAUUCCCAAGUUAAUAAAAUAUCUUAGUGUUCAUAGCUAGUGUUUCACUGCAGUUUUCUGCUAAAUUAUUCAGAAAUAACAGAAAAUUCAUUUUAUAAUGGAUUAAUUUAUGAUUAUUGGCUCUUUACAGAUUUUAAUUUCUACUCUUUUGAAAGAGAAAGAAUUGUCUUAAAACUGCUGGCUGCACUCAUGGCAAGGUAUUAGUACAUACAAUUAAAUUAACACCUAUCAUUAAAGGUUUGCCAGAUAACAAUUAGGUAAAUUAGAUUUUCAAGAAAUUGAGUAAACAAAGUUCUGAUCUUCAAUUAUCUCUAAAAGCUUUGAUGUAAACCUCAAUUGACUAAAAGGGAAAAUGAAGAAAUUGUGACCACAUAUCAAGUGUACCAUUAGUAUACCAAAUAUUGUAAAAGUGGUACAUGGCAUAAAAGUAAAAAAGUUAAGUGUGCUCUUGAAUUUAAAUUUAUAUGAAAAAUUUCACAUUUUUAUAUUAGGAGAUAGAACUAAUCUAUCUUUACCCCAACUCAAAUAGGAGAUUUAGAAGGGGUAAAUGUGACUCAUAAAAGUGCUUACUAAAAAAGAAAUAUGCAGUUCACUGGAAAUCCAUGUCAACCUGAUUGUUUACUAUGUGUAUACAGUACCACAUGGUGCACUGGUUACUAUAGUUUCUAAUCUUCAAUGGGUUGUGGGAAUAAGCAUGAAGACAUAUUUAUUCAUGUAGAUUUUUAAAUUAAUAAAGCCAUAUCAUUUUAAUUCAGUAAGAAUAGAAAAAAUUAUAUCAAAACAAAAAGUCCAGGGUAGUGAGAAGGCUAUUCAACUUAGAAUGCUGCCCCAUUUAUUUCCUAAAACCCUGAUGAUAGUGUAUGGGAAACUUUCUGACAAAAUUUCUGAAGCUACUUUAUUGUUAUUGUUAUAUUUAAUGGCAUUGAUGUUCAGUCGUUCAUUCAGCCAACUUAAGUUCAUGCCUGGAAGCCUGAGUGCACUGCAUCAGAUAGUUGGGAGUGAGAGAAAUGAAUAAGAUAUGGUGUCCACUCUCUAGGAGUUCACAGCAUAAUAAGGGCAACAAGUAAAUGAAUAAAAAAAUAAGAGUAUGCUAUCAUGGUCUUGUUUACCAUUGUCUCCAUAGACCCAACUCGGUGUUUGGGAUUCAGUAAAUACAUUGCAAUAAAAUUUGCACAAUAAAAGAGAGCUAUGAGAUAUAUUGUGGACAAACUCUGCAUGGAAGAUUUGGGUAAGGAUUUUAAGGGUUGAUCUUGAAGGAUGAGUGGGAGUUUGCCAAGAUUUUAAGGAAAAAGUGUAUUUCAGAAACACAGAACUGCAAUGAUACUAACUUACACAAUAAUGUUUGGGUAUUUGGAGAAGGUAUGAAGAUGGAUUUAUGAUGCUGGUCCUAGACUAUCUGAAUAGAAACAAUCGUAGAUGAUACUGUUAAUAUAUGGUAUAUCUAGAUUGUUUGGGUCCUGUUUUGUUCCAUUUGAAGGAGCUUAGGCACUGUUCUUUGGAUUGUGGAGAUCUGUAGUGGGCUCUAAAAAGUGAGAGUCCUACAAGCAGAUUUGUGAAUUUUGGAAGCACUAUGGAUAUGGAAUGGAGGUGGAAUAUUGGUGUCAGGAAAGAAGUAGAGAAUUUUUCAGGAGAUUAGGAGGAAUAUAUUAAUCUGGCAACAUAGUAAAGUUGAGAGAAAUGGACAAUUUUGAAUGACAUGACUUGGUGACUUUAUAUAUGGGGCGCAGGAGAGGAGAGUUAAAUAUUCCCUUGUGGUUUUUUUUCUAGAGUAAAUUUCCAUCUCUGCUACUCUUUGGCAAAAUUUCUCAUAUAACACAGGCCCCUUCAUGCAUCCUUGAGCAUAACUACAUAAAAGAAAUUGGAGUAAAUGGAACCUAUUUUACAAUUCAACCUCAUAUUUGUUGGUGUUAAAAAAUGAAUUUGACAGGGCACUUUCAUCUAAGUACUGAUGAGUCAUAAAUCAUCAAGCAAUAACCUUAGGACCUCGGUGAAUUUCUCACCAUUCUUCAAUACCUGUCAGAAUCCAGGCUAAUAUCCAAAGUUUUUUAAGGUUAAAGAAGAUAGCAACACUUCAUGCUACAGAUGUUACUUAAGUGUAAUAGCACCUCACAAAGUAAUUGUAUUAGAAUCUUCAAGGGCGAUGAUCACAUUUUUUUCUUCUUUGUGGAGUAUCUAGCACAUACCACCAUAAUUUAGGAUGUGGUAGGCAUUCAACUAAUGUUGUUGAAUGUGUAAAUUGAUUACAUUUUUGACGAUCAAUAACAGAAGCUCUUCUAAAUGACUUUUUCUUAACCAAUUUUCUGGAUUAACUGACAUUCUUUAUUCCAUCUUAAGUCAUGCCAACUGUUGCCCGAAGCACUCUGAGUUCUAUGGCUAGUAUACUACUCUAGUCCACCUGCUCACAUAGAACCCUUCCCAAAAUUAGUUAAGCUUGGUCCUAAACCCGUUAAUGUUGUUUAAACUGGUUUUGGUGAACUGGUUUGGUGGUUUUGAAAACUAAUUGCAUUGCACUAAUAAAAUAUGAGUAUAAAAUGUAAAGGAGAUGAUUUCUUUGAAAACUACAUCAAAUGCUUUGAAAGACUCAGUAGAAGUGAGUUACAAAAAAAUUACUAUCCACAUGGAUAUGAAUAAAGCAUAUAUAAAAUAAAUAGUGAAAUCUAAAAUAUUUACUUUAAAUCUGUUCUUUGUUAAACACUUUGUUAGUGUUUUUGUAUUUUUACUCUGCUUUAAAGAAAACUAAACUAGAAAUCAUAGGUGAUGCAUUAUAGAUGAAUAUAUUGAUGAGAGAUGACAGGAAAAUCCAAUCGGUAGACUUAUACACAGUAAAAGUUGUCUUGGUCUUACAUCAAAAUAAUAGGAAAUUAUGUGUUGGGGG
rnacentral:lncRNA from 1 species